GAAUUUGGGUCACAUAAAUGCAUACUCUAAUUAACGAUAGAACCAACAUUUUCCAAAGUAGAAAAACAAAAAUCUUUCUCAUUAUCAGAAUGUUGCUGCAUUUAGCACUACUUUUCACAUAAACAAAGUGUCUUAUACCCUUUCGGUUAACUAUCUGUUUCAGACCUUGAGAAAAGUUAACAUUUUCAGUAACAAUAUGAAAAGAGAACAAAUAUUUAUCCAUAAUUUCAAAAGGCAGUGGAUCCAUAGAAAACUUCCAAAAUACAUAAAUAUUUACAUGACAAAGCAACAACAUGAGCUAGAUCACCGACAAACACAGUAGGAAUCAUCAAAAUAGGGUUAUUAUUAUCAUUAUUCUCAUGAGCAAGAACACUACCUGUAGUAGGGUAAUGCAUUAAUCGGAAUUAUAAUAAAGAAGACGAUGUCCAAUGCUAGAACAGGAUCGAAAGAAAGCUAUCGGACUUUGAAUUGACAACGGAACCAACAAACGGACCUCGACAAGGAAACCAGCGAAUGACAACAGUCUCAAACUCGCUGGAACUCCAGUCUGACCUUUCUGGCGACCUCAAAAAGACCUUAAACGUUGCCGGAGAAACCCGAUCUUUGCUGACGAACUUGAACUUAAAAAGUCAUUCAGCGGCUGAGGAAAUGGUUUCAGAUCAAGCUCCUAGAGGAUAAAGCUUCUUGUUUCGGUGAACUAGGAAGCUCCAAAACUCCAUGUAAAUGGUUGGGAUCGAGCUUUGGUUCUAGGUCUCUGUUAAUAAGAAGCCAUCAAUUUGGGUCUUGUGUUUAGAACCUGAAGACGAAAGCAGAACGAAGGUCAUUUUUGGUCGUCGAUGGCACUGUUUGGCUCCUAGGUCUCUCGUGUCUGUGUGUUAUGGUGUUCAGCAACUACUGAGGAAGGAGAAGAGACGUGAGGGUUCCUGUUUUAUGGCUAGGAUCGGUGUUUUCUCAUGGCUGCUGCUUCAUUUUUGUAGAAGACAUGAAGCGCAGCUUCCUCCUCUAUCCAGGCGUUUAUCUUUGAGCUUCAUGAAGAAGAAGCAACGGCCAUGGUGGACUGCUGGAUGCCUGACGGGGAAGAUGAUCGCNNN
rnacentral:lncRNA from 1 species